GUGAAGAUUCCAUCAGCAAAGUUUCAGACCUACCCGUCUACAUCACAGUUGGAAUUGUACUGUUCUUGAUCACAUUUGCUUCAGUGGUGUACCUUAUGUACAAAUCAGGCAAUCUCAAAAGAAGACUUGAACGCAGUGAAAACAGUAAUACAAGACAAGAGGAAGGUA